UCCUACGGGAGGCAGCAGUGGGGAAUUUUGGACAAUGGGGGAAACCCUGAUCCAGCAAUGCCGCGUGUGUGAAGAAGGCCUUCGGGUUGUAAAGCACUUUUGUCCGGAAAGAAAACCUUUGCACUAAUACUGUGAGGGGAUGACGGUACCGGAAGAAUAAGCACCGGCUAACUACGUGCCAGCAGCCGCGGUAAUUCGUAGGGUGCGAGCGUUAAUCGGAAUUACUGGGCGUAAAGCGUGCGCAGGCGGUUCGUUAAGACAGAUGUGAAAUCCCCGGGCUUAACCUGGGAACUACAUUUGUGACUGGCGAGCUAGAGUAUGGCAGAGGGGGGUAGAAUUCCACGUGUAGCAGUGAAAUGCGUAGAGAUGUGGAGGAAUACCGAUGGCGAAGGCAGCCCCCUGGGCCAAUACUGACGCUCAUGCACGAAAGCGUGGGGAGCAAACAGGAUUAGAUACCCUGGUAGUCCACGCCCUAAACGAUGUCAACUAGUUGUUGGGUCUUCAUUGACUUAGUAACGUAGCUAACGCGUGAAGUUGACCGCCUGGGGAGUACGGUCGCAAGAUUAAAACUCAAAUGAAUUGACGGA
rnacentral:rRNA from 1 species